rnacentral:rRNA from 1 species
UACAGAGGGUGCUAGCGUUGUUCGGAAUCAUUGGGCGUAAAGGGCGUGUAGGCGGUUUGUUAAGUCAUGUGUGAAAUCCCUCGGCUCAACCGGGGAACGACGCAUGAAACUGGCAAGCUAGAGUAUCAAAGAGGGGGGUGGAAUUCCCGGUGUAGCGGUGAAAUGCGUAGAUAUCGGGAGGAACGCCUGUGGCGAAGGCGGCCCCCUGGUUGGAUACUGACGCUGAGACGCGAAAGCGUGGGGAGCAAACAGG